rnacentral:misc_RNA from 1 species
GAUGAAGAACGCAGCGAAAUGCGAUAAGUAAUGUGAAUUGCAGAAUUCCGUGAAUCAUCGAAUCUUUGAACGCACAUUGCGCCCGCUAGUAUUCUGGCGGGCAUGCCUGUCCGAGCGUCAUUUCAACCCUCAAGCCCCCGGGCUUGGUGUUGGGGAUCGGCGAGCCUCCGCGCCCGCCGUCCCCUAAAUCUAGUGGCGGUCUCGCUGUAGCUUCCUCUGCGUAGUAGCACACCUCGCACUGGGAAACAGCGCGGCCACGCCGUUAAACCCCCAACUUCUGAACGUUUGACCUCGGAUCAGGUAGGAAUACCCGCUGAACUUAAGCAUAUCAAUAAGCGGAGGA